AGAACUUUUAUCAGUAUUCUGAACAGUCUUCUGUUUUCGUGGUUGGUACUAGUGGAAUUGGUUUCUGUUUCCCUCCUCCUUUAACAGGUGCUUGGUGGAAUUAACUGAAUGAUAGAGGUAACUACCUGUUUGUAAAUGUUUGUUUGCACUCGCUGAUUCUGCUGAACCUCCAUGAGUUGAGAUCGGGAAAAUUUGGCUGAUAAGUUUCUUGUGCCUAAAUCAGCAAGCACUGGCAUGGAUUGGUUCUUAGGAUUUAUGUAUCCUAAAUGUACUACAGAAAAUUCUUGGAGGGACAUGGCCGUCACUGGUCGUGUUGGAAUCCACCACCUGUCCAGUAGUAGUUUGAGUAUGACAUUAAGGCUUUUUUUAAUCAUUAAAUGAUAAAGAGUAUCACAUUGAGGCUAUGAAUAGCUAUUUGAUUCAUGCUCCUUGUUUAACUUCUUUCCUUCAAUAGAAUAAUGUUAUUUUGUAUUAUUUGAAUUCACUUUGGCAUCUUUAACUUCCUAACUUUCAGGUUUUCCGAUUAUUAUAUCCUAUACUCUAAAAAAUUAAGUAUAAUGAUGUAUUCACAUCCAACAACAACAACAACAUGCCUAGUGUAAUCCCACAAAUGGGGUCUGGUGACACUAAUACGCAGACCACACCGGCCUGUAUAAAUCAUUCUGCUAAUCUUGUAGUAUUGCCACCACCUCAUUGCCCGUGUUACAAUCCAGCAGCCUUCUAUUUUGUUUGACCUGAUUUCUAUUUUAAACUGUAGAUUGACGUCUGUCCUUCAACAGAAAUUGUACAAUUAUCAGGAAGUUAAUUGACAUAAAUCAUAGUAUUUUAUAUUAUUUUGAAUUUGCUUUGACAUCUUAGAUCUCCAAGCGUUUUGCGUAUCCCAAUCAUUAUUUCCUAUACUCUUAAUAAAUUAAAACAUAACAUUGUAUUGCGACUUUCUAGUAUAAAACUAUGUGCUUGCUAAAGCCUAAAGUAGGUGGUUCAGUUUUGGAAGGAGGGACUAUCUUAUGCAUUCAAUGUAAAUACAGUUCUCAGAUUUGAACUUAACACAAUUAAUUGUUACGUUUUAGUAAUUUCAGUUGUUUUUUUCGUCAGCCUAGUAGUCUACUAGUCUUUCAAUUGUUUUCCUGUCCACUGUAGUUUGAAUCUUAAACAUCUCUGCGAUCUUGUUAUAUUUUCUUGAAUGUGAUAUUCUUUAGUUAGAUUAGUAAUGUAUGUAUAUAAACUGUAGCACUCUGGGUUGAAUUUUACAAUCUAAAAAAAAAUGGAUUAUUCAUGCAUUCAGUUCUUUUGUAAUUAAUCUGUGAUACAACAACAUACCUAGUGCAAUUCCACAAAGUAGGGUCUGGAGAGGGUAGAGUGUAUGCAGACCUUACGACUACCUGUGAUAUACGAAAAAUAUAUUUUCAGUAGAGCAUCAGUAGAAAGUAGUUACUUGAGAUUUGGUAGUACAGUUUAUCUUGUCCAGAAUAAGAUUUUGAAGCCUUUAAAGAUACAAAAGAAAAA